rnacentral:tRNA from 1 species
GCGGUGGUGGUUCAGUGGUAGAAUUCUCCCCUUCCAUGUAGGAGACCAGGGUUCAAUUCCCGACCAAUGCA